rnacentral:rRNA from 1 species
ACUGAGACACGGCCCAGACUCCUAACGGGAGGCAGCAGUGGGGGAAUAUUGCGCAAUGGGCGGAAAGCCUGACGCAGCGACGCCGCGUGGGGGAUGACGGCCUUCGGGUUGUAAACCUCUUUCGCCAGGGACGAAGAGCAAUUGACGGUACCUGGAGAAGAAGCACCGGCCAACUACGUGCCAGCAGCCGCGGUAACACGUAGGGUGCGAGCGUUGUCCGGAAUUAUUGGGCGUAAAGAGCUCGUAGGCGGUGUGUCGCGUCGGCCGUGAAAACUUGGGGCUUAACUCUGAGCGUGCGGUCGAUACGGGCAUCACUUGAGUUCGGCAGGGGAGACUGGAAUUCCUGGUGUAGCGGUGAAAUGCGCAGAUAUCAGGAGGAACACCGGUGGCGAAGGCGGGUCUCUGGGCCGAUACUGACGCUGAGGAGCGAAAGCGUGGGGAGCGAACAGGAUUAGAUACCCUGGUAGUCCACGCCGUAAACGUUGGG